CAGUGGCUCCUUGAUCUAUGAUGCUGCUAGUUUUUCUACAGUAAGGAGAUGCAAGGCUAACAUGAGAUAAGAAUGCAACACAGAAAUAUCAGUGCACUGUAACUAAAUACUCUGGACCUUAACUUCUAUGAAGAAUAUUCUAUUUUUAUCCUAAAGUAAUAGAUCAAAAUACAGAGGCUCUGUCCUCGCAACCGGGGGAAGGGGGGGGGGACGGGGGAAGGUUUGAGUGAUUUUAAAUCUCUUUUAAAAAAUCUUUUGUUAAAUCUUCAUAGAAAUCUCCGGGAAGCUUUCCUCUCUAGGUUUCAUGUUCUGAAAAUGACUGGAAACCCUACCAGCCAUUUCAAACAUGUCCACAGUAGUUUUAUUUAAAACAAUGUGAAUAAGUGUAACAAAGCCUAACACUCCAUAUAUAGAAAUCAGACUUCAGUUUUGUGAGGAGAAUAAUGCUGAAACCUCAAAUUUAGCUGCCAACUCAGAGACUAGCACACAAAUGGACUGCUUAAGGGAAUACACAAGUACUACUUCUAUAUAUCCACACCCAGGACUAGGAUGGGGCUUUUUGUCAUACAAGAUUUUUUCCCGAUCCCAAAAAAAUGAAUAGAUUUUAAGGCCAGAAGGGACAGUGAUGAUUAUCCAAUUUGACCAAGUGAUGACAAAUUCACCAUGUCCUCAGCCCAAGCCUCAUUGUUACUGCAGAUUAUUAAAAGUCUGAAGUGAAUGAUGCUCAAGAGUCAGUCACCAAUGAACAAAAGCACAUCAAUAAUUUUUCAGUGUAAGCAUUGCAUUACCUUAUCAUCAUAUCCACUUGUGAUUAGAAGGUUUUUUUUUAAAAAAAUCUUUCAAGCAAUUAUAAUUAUGGUCCCCUCACAAGUCACACCCAAGCGAUCUUCAUGGCUGAAGAACCCCAUUCUCUGACCUCCACCACUUGGACUGAAGCAUUAGAUUGGACUAUGAUUAAAUAUGAGUGGAUAGGUGGUAUCAAAUAAUUCAACCAAUAUAGAUCUUUUUCCCGUUUGUGUUUCUAUCUGCAAAUAGGCUGUUAUUACAAAUGUGUUUGUUACUUGAGAUAUUAGGAAAAUUCUACACAAACUUAAUUCAGUUGUUCACAAUCAAAGUCUUUGAUUAUUUGCUAUUUAUUCUGUGAUUUUGUUUAUUUAGAUUUAUACUUCAUACACACAGGAGUAAGAAGCUCUCCCAGGCUUUAGUCUGUUUUGCCAUGUACAUGGAAAGUAAACCCAAUUGAUUAUCACUCGUUUCACAACCAAAAAAUAACAAACCAAAGAUGGAGUCAAACCCAAACAAUACUCUCUCUCCAACAAAUACCAAUCUAUUUCAUGCUCCUCCCUUCCCUAUAAGGUUUAGGGGUGAAUAAUACAAUCCUC